rnacentral:rRNA from 1 species
UACGUAGGUGGCAAGCGUUGUCCGGAUUUAUUGGGUUUAAAGGGUGCGUAGGCGGUUCUAUAAGUCAGUGGGGAAAUCCGGCAGCUCAACUGUCGAUGUGCCAUUGAUACUGCAGAACUUGAGUACAGACGAGGUAGGCGGAAUUGACGGUGUAGCGGUGAAAUGCUUAGAUAUCGUCAAGAACACCGAUAGCGAAGGCAGCUUACUAGACUGUAACCGACGCUGAUGCACGAAAGUGUGGGGAUCAAACAGG